GUGGAUUUUUGCACCAACAAGAUUGGUGCUAGAGAAAGGGUCUGUGUCUUCGCAGUACCUUUGUUCUUAAAGGAGCACUCAAUGGGACCGCCUUCGAUCAUCUUCUCCGACAUCUCCUCCUCCGGUUGCCUGCCUGAUCUCCAGCUGAUACCUCCCUGAAGGGCAUCUACCAGGCGGUCAAUGGCCUCUGCAGUCAGAUCUCAGCAAGCUCUGCAAGCCCUAGCC
rnacentral:lncRNA from 1 species